rnacentral:rRNA from 1 species
UACGUAGGGGGCGAGCGUUGUCCGGAGUUACUGGGCGUAAAGCGCACGCAGGCGGUCUGCUAAGUUUGGAGUGACAGUUGGUGGCUUAACUGCCAAAGUGCUUCGAAAACUGACAGACUUGAGGGCUUCAGAGGGACACGGAAUUCCGGGUGGAGUGGUGAAAUGCGUAGAGAUCCGGAGGAACACCAAAGGCGAAGGCAGUGUCCUGGGGAGUAACCUGACGCU